UAUUGGGUUCAAUUUAUGUCAUUGGAACACUAAUUGGGUACUUUUGACUUAUUGGGUAUACCCAAUAAUCCAAUUGCUUUCAUUGUGUUCCAUUGACAUUUACUGGGUAUUGGAUAACACAAACCCAAUAAAUGUUUGUCUGAGAUUUGUCUAUAAAAAUCUAGUCCAUCUAAUGGACUUUACUGUUUGUUGAAAUCAAAAUCUUUCGGAAUGCCUUUGGUUUUAUCAUCAACAAUGAAGAAUUCAGAAGAGUUCCAAACAACUAUGACAUGUGAUAAGAUUAUCCAAUCAGAAAGUAGCAAUGGCUACUGAAACAGAUGCUAGAUGAACAUAUCACCUGGAACUAGAGAAAACUCAUUCAAGGCCUUAUUGCUAUCUGGAUAAGAAUAAUCAUGUGAUGAUGACCCUUUUGAUAUAGCAGAAUCAUGUGAUGAUGACCCUUUUAAUUUAGCACCUGGAAGUAGAAGUCAAUUAAGGCUGGAUGAGCUUUUUAAUGAAUCACAUGAUGAUGAUGAUGAUGAUCAGAGCUAUACUGACAUCUGGACAAAGAGCAAAAGUGGAGCCCUGGAUUCACAGUUUAAAAGAUUGAAAGUUUUUGUAAACAGAAUUUAGGUUAGCAGCAUAGAAAAAUCACUGCAUGCAGACCUUUCAACUCUGGAAAAGAAACCUUGGACACCCAAGACCUUGUUGAGGCCAGGGGCAAGAAGUAGCAAGCAGUCUGCCUGACCUUUAUGAGAAACACACAUUUUGCCGGAAAACAAAUCUGACUUCACAUUAUGAAAUUUUAACAGAAAAGAGGCAAUUUGAUGAGCUUUCAUUCAAGAGGUCCCUCGUUGCUGAACGAAAAAUAGGGCUGGAGCUAUGAACAGGAACAUUUACAUUACCGCCUAUGGAAAUGCAUUAGUGGACUAUACCAAUAUUGAGCUCCAUGCUGAUACCUUGUAAAUUGAACUUCAUCAAAGAUUAAACCACAACAAUGAGACAUACUAGAUAGUUUUUCAGUACAGACUUCACACCAUAAAACUUUAACAGAAAAGAGGCAAUUUGAUGAGCUUUCAUUCAAGAGGUCCCUCGUUGCUGAACGAAAAAUAGGGCUGGAGCUAUGAACAGGAACAUUUACAUUACCGCCUAUGGAAAAUGCAUCAGUGGACUGUACUCAGGCGUUUCAUGUGGAUACGAAGGUAGCAAGCAUUGCAGGAAAAUACACAGCUAGUGUUAGAAAGCAUUUAAUGGGGUUUACCAUCAGAAAAAUCUGGUAAUUGAAGUGGUGAAAUGAUGGGUGGCUGCCAAAAGGGUACCCCCUUUGUCUGGACAACUCAUACAGUUUUCAAGAUAUAAAGGUUUUUUGUUUUGCAGGUCAAUUGUAUAUAUAUUAUCGAGAUAUGCAUUAUUGCUAGGAUUUUAACUUUUGUAAAUUUUUUCAAAAAAUACUCACUUUUGAACUAGUCAAUUGCUUAUAGGGUACAUCUUUUGUGCAAAUAACUCCUCCCAACAGUUUCGAAGAUAGGGAUAUCUUAAUUUUGCAGAUUAAUUGUACAAUUGAUUAUCUCAACCCCCAUAAACUUGAAAUGAUGACCAAAUAUCUUAAAAACAAAUGGGAUUUCAACCCCUAAACAAUAAAUAUUCUUGUUCAUUGUGUAGGUCAUGACCUAAGAGGGUGGUUAUGAAGAUAAACAUUUACAAUUUUCUUCAAUACAGAAUGUUGAUACAAGAAAAACAUUCGAUAUUUUUAUAUUAUAUAUUAUAUAUAUCGACAAGAGUAAAUGGUCAAACAAGAGAAAAAGGAAGUAAGGGAAUAUUUUUCAGACUGUUGCACAUCAAAUACACUCCCAUGAAUGAAAAUGUGCCCAAGACUUACAGAAUGUAACUAAAAGGGCGAAAAAUAUUGUGGAAAAGGAUAUGGGAGACCAUAAAGAAAAAAUAUGGAAUGAUCUUAAAAGAGUAAUUUGCACUUUUGAUUGAGUUAUGUCUUAGUGUACAUAUAACUUUGAUGAUAUUGUUAAUUAUAUAUGUGUGUGUUCAUAGAAAAGAACAUCAUGCAUAUGCAUUGUAAUACCAGUAAAUAUAAUAUUGAAAUUAUUGAUCGUGUUAAGAUUUUCAAAGUUUAUGAUGAGUAACAGUAUGUGAAUUGUAAUUCCUCACAUACAAAAAUCUUUGUCACUGUUUUAAGAAAAAAGCCAAACUGUACCAGUAUGUUGAUAUGAACAUUUUUUUAAAAAUUUUUCGAUGUGUAUUUUUUAUGAGUCAGACAAUAACUGUUGAAUAUUUAAACUUUCUCUGCAUGUUUGUAUGGAGCUGAAUAUUAUGCUAGUUUAAAGGUCUAAUAAAUGGUCUGUUUGAUCUUCUUAACCAUACAUGUAAGAUGUCUGACUAUCUUUCUGUAAGAUUUGAUAAAUUUGUUUCAGUAUAAUUUGUGUACAUGCAUUUGUGUAAAUUUCAAGAAAUUAUUUAACACCAUCAAACUCUGCCAUGCAUUAUGUAUCAGUAAUUGAAAUAUAUCUUCAAAGUUGCAUCCCAGCAAUUUUGAACUUUGGUGAAGGAAUACAUAAGACUACAAAAAAUAUCUAAAUUGUUCGUACCAUUCAAAAUCUGACUAUUUUCAAGGUAUUUAUAAAUAAGUUUCUGUGAAAAACAAUGCUUUUGAAUACAUUACAACAAAAUUAUUAAUUAUUUCAAAGUACUAAGUCUUGUCAGCAGUGAUGAUGUGUGCAUAGGUCCGAACACUGUUGCGAUGUAAGGGUAAAAUGGCUUAUGACAUGGAAAGUGUUGAUUUUGGGCUGACAGAUGGUUGUUAAUGUGUUUUUGUGUAAAAUAAAUUAGAGCUAGCGAACAGCGUACCUAUGUAA